rnacentral:rRNA from 1 species
UACGGAGGGUGCAAGCGUUAUCCGGAUUCACUGGGUUUAAAGGGUGCGUAGGUGGGUUGGUAAGUCAGUGGUGAAAUCCCCGAGCUUAACUUGGGAACUGCCAUUGAUACUAUCAGUCUUGAAUAUUGUGGAGGUUAGCGGAAUAUGUCAUGUAGCGGUGAAAUGCUUAGAUAUGACAUAGAACACCAAUGGCGAAGGCAGCUGGCUACGCAUAUAUUGACACUGAGGCACGAAAGCGUGGGGAUCAAACAGG